rnacentral:miRNA from 1 species
AAGCUCAGGAGGGAGAGCACC